GACGAACGCUGGCGGCGUGCUUAACACAUGCAAGUCGAACGGAAAGGCCCUGCUUUUGUGGGGUGCUCGAGUGGCGAACGGGUGAGUAACACGUGAGUAACCUGCCCUUGACUUUGGGAUAACUUCAGGAAACUGGGGCUAAUACCGGAUAGGAGCUCCUGCUGCAUGGUGGGGGUUGGAAAGUUUCGGCGGUUGGGGAUGGACUCGCGGCUUAUCAGCUUGUUGGUGGGGUAGUGGCUUACCAAGGCUUUGACGGGUAGCCGGCCUGAGAGGGUGACCGGCCACAUUGGGACUGAGAUACGGCCCAGACUCCUACGGGAGGCAGCAGUGGGGAAUAUUGCACAAUGGGCGGAAGCCUGAUGCAGCAACGCCGUGUGCGGGUUGACGGCCUUCGGGUUGUAAACCGCUUUCGCCUGUGACGAAGCGUGAGUGACGGUAAUGGGUAAAGAAGCACCGGCUAACUACGUG
rnacentral:rRNA from 1 species